GAUGAACGCUGGCGGCGUGCCUAACACAUGCAAGUCGAGCGAUUUACUUCGGUAAAGAGCGGCGGACGGGUGAGUAACGCGUGGGUAACCUGCCCUGUACACACGGAUAACAUACCGAAAGGUAUGCUAAUACGAGAUAAUAUGCUUUUAUCGCAUGGUAGGAGUAUCAAAGCUUUUGCGGUACAGGAUGGACCCGCGUCUGAUUAGCUAGUUGGUAAGGUAACGGCUUACCUAGGCGACGAUCAGUAGCCGACCUGAGAGGGUGAUCGGCCACAUUGGAGAUGAGACACGGUCCAAACUCCUACGGGAGGCAGCAGUGGGGAAUAUUGCACAAUGGGCGAAAGCCUGAUGCAGCAACGCCGCGUGAGCGAUGAAGGCCUUCGGGUCGUAAAGCUCUGUCCUCAAGGAAGAUAAUGACGGUACUUGAGGAGGAAGCCCCGGCUAACUACGUGCCAGCAGCCGCCGUAA
rnacentral:rRNA from 1 species